rnacentral:hammerhead_ribozyme from 1 species
AUCCAGAUGACGAAUCCUAAAUAGGACGAAAAGCGUGUCCUGGAU